CAAAAUACAAGAGUCAUAGUAUAUUCGGUACAAAAAAAUUCUUUAUGAUGAUUACUGAUUACCGUUAAGUAACUUUUUAUGAUUGACGCAUCUAUUUGAAUACGACCGAUUACCCAAUUGAAUCUCGCGGGUUUAAAUCAAGGUAUACACACACACACACACACACAUAUAUAUAUAUAGUAUAUAACAUCGUCUUAAUUCCUUUGAAAUUCUUUGAUGAUCUCUAACGUUACUUUCUGGCAUAAUCGAUGAAGGAUUCAUAGAGAGAGAAUAGAAUUAUGAACAAACUAAAAAAAAAUUUUCAAGUGCACGUCGAACGUUUGAAUUUCCCGGUCAAUGGCACAAGACCCGAUUAUCCUAAUUGCUCGAGUGUUAAAUUGAAAAAAAAAAUUAAUUACUACCAGAGCAAAAAUGUGGGUUUUUCAUUAAAAUCCGUAAGCCAGCAAAGUGAUGUCCGUAAUUACGAAAUAGUUGAAAUUGUAUCCUUAAGGCGGACUCUCGUAGACGUCAUGAGAGGAAAAAACAGUCGAACUCGUUGUCAAAUAUAUUUUUCCUUUCGAUCGUGUCUCCCUAUUAGAAAUCAAUACGGACGAGCCGGACACACCUACGUGAUCAUCAUCGUCCAGUGAAAGUUUACUAUAGAAAGAAGACUCGUGACCGAAUUUGGCGGUUAUUAUUUAAAUGUCGCGCGUCGUUAGUCCAGCAAAUCGUUUCAAGCCAGGAUUAUACAUUAGAAGCCAGAACUAUAUACACGUGACUCUAUCAAGAAACUUGUUAAUGUUCAAUGAACUCUUAAUUCGCCAGGAACCCCAUUUAUUGUAAAAUACAGUAAAAUUCAAUACCACGCGAGAUCCUAAUACAUACACAAAAUGCCGGUCUUUUCGAUAAAAUCACAUUGAAGCGGAUCUCAAUCAAGGUGAUGUGGUAUGCUAAGAAAUAACAGUAACAAUAAUGAUGCGGAUUUAAUUUCUAUCGAGAUAUAUCGAUACAAUAUCGUCAACUCGAAGAAUUUAAACGGCUGGUAAAAUUGAUGGUGAAUAAAAAAAAUACGAACGUAUCCAUUCCAGGAAGCGAUUCGACCUUACUCUCUUAAUCGAUGUUCGACCUUACUUCCGCCAAUGUUUCACAGAGCAUUUAGUAAUGGCGUCCAGUAAAAGGAACGGGCUUGGCUGCCUUUCCCGUGGUCGAUCCAGAAAGUAACGUAAAGCCUUGAUCGAUCCGUGGGAUCGGUUGAAGUACCACAGACCCGUGGAAACCUUAUCGUUAAUCGUACACAGUCGAAACAUAUAUAACCCUGUAUCAAUAAAGAGUAUUAUUGCUUCUGAA